UACGGAGGGUGCGAGCGUUAAUCGGAAUUACUGGGCGUAAAGCGCGCGUAGGCGGCUUGUUAAGCUGGAUGUGAAAUCCCCGGGCUCAACCUGGGAACUGCACCCAGAACUGGCAAGCUAGAGUAUGGUAGAGGUGAGUGGAAUUUCCUGUGUAGCGGUGAAAUGCGUAGAUAUAGGAAGGAACAUCAGUGGCGAAGGCGACUCACUGGACUAAUACUGACGCUGAGGUGCGAAAGCGUGGGGAUCAAACAGG
rnacentral:rRNA from 1 species